CGAUGUGAGGAAAAUAUGGCUGUGACAUAUGUUACCCAUUAAUAGCCAGAGUUAAUUUGGCUGAUCUGGCUGGCUAAGUGGGAGUUCUCUUCCUCCCUUACCACUUCACAUGUGUCCUUCCAGGAGCUGCAUGCUGAGUUGAACAAGACAACCUUCCCCAUCAGGGAGCACCAGUCUUGUUCAGGGGUAUAUGAGUAGUUGUUUUCCCCUUCUGGAAUCUCCAACAAGUUCUCAAGUAUUAAGUGAAUCAUCUUCAUGAAAUUGAAAUGUGAUAAUAUCACAAGUGAUUUCAUGAAUUGUGACCGUUAUACUUGAAAAGGAAUUCAAU
rnacentral:snRNA from 1 species